rnacentral:rRNA from 1 species
GACGAACGCUGGCGGCGUGCUUAACACAUGCAAGUCGAACGGAAAGGCCCUGCUUUUGUGGGGUGCUCGAGUGGCGAACGGGUGAGUAACACGUGAGUAACCUGCCCUUGACUUUGGGAUAACUUCAGGAAACUGGGGCUAAUACCGGAUAGGAGCUCCUGCUGCAUGGUGGGGGUUGGAAAGUUUCGGCGGUUGGGGAUGGACUCGCGGCUUAUCAGCUUGUUGGUGGGGUAGUGGCUUACCAAGGCUUUGACGGGUAGCCGGCCUGAGAGGGUGACCGGCCACAUUGGGACUGAGAUACGGCCCAGACUCCUACGGGAGGCAGCAGUGGGGAAUAUUGCACAAUGGGCGGAAGCCUGAUGCAGCAACGCCGCGUGCGGGAUGACGGCCUUCGGGUUGUAAACCGCUUUCGCCUGUGACGAAGCGUGAGUGACGGUAAUGGGUAAAGAAGCACCGGCUAACUACGUGCCAGCAGCCGCGGUGAUACGUAGGGUGCGAGCGUUGUCCGGAUUUAUUGGGCGUAAAGGGCUCGUAGGUGGUUGAUCGCGUCGGAAGUGCAAUCUUGGGGCUUAACCCUGAGCGUGCUUUCGAUACGGGUUGACUUGAGGAAGGUAGGGGAGAAUGGAAUUCCUGGUGGAGCGGUGGAAUGCGCAGAUAUCAGGAGGAACACCAGUGGCGAAGGCGGUUCUCUGGGCCUUUCCUGACGCUGAGGAGCGAAAGCGUGGGGAGCGAACAGGCUUAGAUACCCUGGUAGUCCACGCUGUAAACGGUGGGUACUAGGUGUGGGGUCCAUUCCACGGGUUCCGUGCCGUAGCUAACGCUUUAAGUACCCCGCCUGGGGAGUACGGCCGCAAGGCUAAAACUCAAAGGAAUUGACGGGGCCCCGCACAAGCGGCGGAGCAUGCGGAUUAAUUCGAUGCAACGCGUAGAACCUUACCUGGGUUUGACAUGGAUCGGGAGUGCUCAGAGAUGGGUGUGCCUCUUUUGGGGUCGGUUCACAGGUGGUGCAUGGCUGUCGUCAGCUCGUGUCGUGAGAUGUUGGGUUAAGUCCCGCAACGAGCGCAACCCUUGUUCACUGUUGCCAGCACGUUAUGGUGGGGACUCAGUGGAGACCGCCGGGGUCAACUCGGAGGAAGGUGGGGAUGACGUCAAGUCAUCAUGCCCCUUAUGUCCAGGGCUUCACGCAUGCUACAAUGGCUGGUACAGAGAGUGGCGAGCCUGUGAGGGUGAGCGAAUCUCGGAAAGCCGGUCUCAGUUCGGAUUGGGGUCAGCAACUCGACCUCAUGAAGUCGGAGUCGCUAGUAAUCGCAGAUCAGCAACGCUGCGGUGAAUACGUUCCCGGG